CUCUUCUCAGGAUUACAACUGGAGAGUUUCAGGUACUCUUCCAGUCUUGGCUAGGGGAGGGAGAGGAAGUCAAGCAGAGGCAAACCCCUUCCAUUCCUAGCUGGAGCAGUGGCUAGCGAGUGGAAGGGAAGCUGCUACAGGU